AUGAGGAUCACCAAACAAUGCAACCUGCCACUUUCUUUGGGUAAGCAUUAUCGCUCAAAUGUGUUGUGUGAUGUGGUUGACAUGGAUGCCAGCCAUGUUCUUCUUGGGAGGCCUUGGCAAUUUGAUGUGGAUACUACACACAAGGGCAAGGAAAAUUCUUACUCUUUCAUUUGGAACAAAAGAAGGAUCAUUAUCUUACCAAACAAACCCGAAGGUAAUACCUCUAAGGAGGAGGGGAAAACUAUGUUAACUAUCUCCCAUACCUCUCAUGAGUUUAUGGAAGACUUGAAGGAGGCAGAUUUGUGUGCUGCACUUGUUGUAAAGGGAGAAGAGCACCUGACUGUUGAAAUUCCAGCAAAGGUACGUGGUUUAUUGGCAGAAUUUCAGAACAUACUUGGGGAGCCACAUGGCUUGCCACCGAUGAGAGGAAUUCAACAUAGAAUUGACUUAAUUCCGGGAGCAAGUCUUCCUAAUCUUCCACACUAUCAAAUGAGCCCAAAGGAGCAUGGUGUAUUGAAGGAGAAAGUGGAGGAAUUGUUGCAAAAGGGGCACAUUCGAGAAAGUAUUAGCCCAUGUGCUGUACCAGCCCUACUCGCGCCAAAGAAAGAUGGAUCUUGGCGCAUGUGUACGGACAGUAGAGCCGUUAACAAGAUCACCGUAAGGUAUAGAUUCCCUAUUCCCCGUCUGGAUGAUAUGUUGGAUCAGCUUAGUGGAGCAAGAGUGUUCACAAAGCUAGAUUUAAGAAGUGGAUAUCAUCAAAUCCGUAUAAGACCCGGGGAUGAAUGGAAGACCGCCUUCAAGACAAAGGAAGGGUUGUUUGAAUGGCUAGUCAUGCCAUUUGGACUCUCAAAUGCACCAAGUACCUUUAUGCACUUAAUGAAUCAAGUCCUUAGACCCUUCUUAUCCCACUUUGUUGUGGUCUAUUUCGAUGACAUCUUGAUCUAUAGCAAGGAUGAGGAUGAACACUUUGAUCACAUUCGGAAGGUGCUAGAAGUACUAAGGGAAAAUGAGCUCUACGUCAACUUGAAGAAAUGUGUUUUCCUGCAAACACAACUUCUUUUCCUAGGAUUCGUCAUAACAUGUGACGGCAUUCGUGUUGAUGAUUCUAAGGUUGAAGCAAUCCAAGAAUGGCCAACUCCUAAGACCAUUUCUGAGGUAAGAAGCUUUCAUGGCCUUGCAACUUUCUAUAGGCGAUUUGUUAAGAAUUUCAGCACUAUCAUGGCACCAAUUACCGAGUGUUUGAAGAAAGGAAAGUUCCAAUGGGCAGAAGCAGCUGAAGCUAGCAUCAAUGAGAUUAAACAAAAGCUAUCACAAGCUCCUGUCUUGGUAGUACCUGAUUUCAACAAGACUUUUGAGUUGGAGUGUGAUGCAAGUGGAGUAGGCAUUGGAGCUGUCCUAUCUCAAAAAAGGAAGCCCAUUGCUUUCUUUAGUGAGAAGUUUAGUGAAGCUAGACAGAAAUGGAGUACCCAUCAGCAAGAAUUAUAUGCCGUUUUCAGAGCGUUGAAAACUUGGGAAGUCUAUUUGCUGCCUAAAGAGUUCAUUGUUUAUAGCGACCAUCAAUCCUUGAAGCAUUUUAGAAAUCAAAAGCAUGUUGACCGCAUGCUAGCAAGAUGGGCAGCAUAUCUUGAGAGGUUUAACUAUCUCAUCGUGCAUAAAUCUGGAAUAACUAACAGAGUGGCCGAUGCUUUGAGUCGUCGUGCAUGCCUCUUGACUUCUUUUGAAGCUGAACUUCCGGGCAUGGGUCAAAUAAAGGAGUUGUAUGAGGGUGACGAAGACUUUGGCCAUGUUUGGGUAAAGCACGCAAGGGGCCAACCAUUAGGUGAUGACUAUUUGAUGCAAGAUGGAUAUCUCUUCAAAAAUGAUCGUUUGUGCAUUCCAAGAAGUUCUCUACGUGACAAGCUGGUUAGAGAGCUCCAUUCAAGUGAUCUUAGUGGCCAUGUUGGACGGGACAAGACUAUCGAUAACCUGGAAGCUCGCUACUUUUGGUCACAACUAAAGAGAGAUGCUGGAAAGUUCGCUCAACGGUGCCCCGUAUGUCAGACCUGCAAAGGCCAAGUCCAGAACACAGGGUUAUACAUGCCUUUGCCUGUUCCUGUUGCUCCAUGGGAGGACAUUUGUAUGGACUUCGUCUUGGGCUUGCCAAGAACAAGACGAGGAAGUGAUGAUGUAUUUGUGGUCGUGGAUAGAUUCUCUAAGAUGGCUCAUUUCAUCCCAUGCCGCAAGACAACGGAUGCUCAUCAUGUGGCAAACCUAUUUUUUCGAGAAGUGGUCACACUUCAUGGAGUUCCAAGGUCCAUUGUCUCAGACCGUGAUAGCAAGUUUCUUGCUGCAUUUUGGCUCACUUUGUGGAAGCAAUUCAACACCGAAUUGAAAUUUUCUAGCACUGCUCAUCCACAAACAGAUGGACAAACGGAAGUGGUGAACAAGUUUUUGGGUAAUCUGAUCCGUUGCAUUUGUGGACAAAGAAAGGGGCAAUGGGAUUUGGCUUUAUCUCUUGCAGAGUUCUCCUACAAUAACUCCAAGCAUAGAUCCACAGGAAGGAGCCCUUUUUCCAUUGUCUACACUAAAGUUCCAACACAUGUGGUGGACCUGGUGAAGCUGCCAUCAAGGGGAAACUCAAAAUCAGCAUUGUCCUUUGCUGAUAAUUACACCGAGUUAUUUGAAGAGAUUCGCGGCGCUUUGGAAGCACAAAAUCAGAAAUAUAAACAACUUGCUGAUUGCAAAAGGAGGCCAAAAUCAUUCCAAGUCGGUGAUAAGGUGAUGGUCUACCUCCGAAAAGAGAGGCUGCCUUUAGGUGUUAAAGGGAAACUUAGGCAGCGAAGGUAUGGGCCCUUCUCUAUCAUGAGGAAGAUAAAUGAUAAUGCUUAUGUGAUAGAUCUUCCAAGUGACAUGGGUAUCUCCAACACUUUCAAUGUUGUGGACUUGACUCUCUACCAUUCAGAAGAAGCGCUCUAUGAAGAUAACUCGAGGGCGAGUUCCAAACAACCAGGGGAGAAUGAUGAGGAACACUAG
rnacentral:rRNA from 1 species